GGGGGGGGGGGGGGGGGGGGGGGGGGGGGGGGGGGGGGGGGGGGGGGGGCGGGGGGGGGGGGGUGCGGGGGGGGCGGGCGGGGGGGUGGGACGUGGGUGACCGGCCGUGGGGUGUGGGGUACGUUCGGGAGCGGGGGGCUAAUACCGGAUAGGAGCUCCUGCUGCGUGGGGGGGGUUGGCACGUUACGGCGGUUGGGGAUGGAAUCGCGGCUUCUCGGCGUGUUGGUGGGGUGGUGGCUUACCAAGGCUUUGAGGGGUAGCCGGCCUGAGAGGGUGUCAGGCCACAGUGGGACUGAGAUACGGCCCAGACUCCUACGGGCGGCAGCAGUGGCGAAUAUUGCACAAUGGGCGGAAGCCUGAUGCAGCAACGCCGCGUGCGGGAUGACGGCCGUCGGGUUGUAAACCGCUUUCGCCUGUGACGAAGCGUGAGUGACGGUAAUGGGUAAAGAAGCACCGGCUAACUACGUG
rnacentral:rRNA from 1 species